GACGAACGCUGGCGGCGUGCCUAAUACAUGCAAGUCGAACGAACUCUGGUAUUGAUUGGUGCUUGCAUCAUGAUUUACAUUUGAGUGAGUGGCGAACUGGUGAGUAACACGUGGGAAACCUGCCCAGAAGCGGGGGAUAACACCUGGAAAACAGAUGCUAAUACUGCAUAACAGCUUGGACCGCAUGGUCCGAGCUUGAAAGAUGGCUUCGG
rnacentral:rRNA from 1 species